rnacentral:tRNA from 1 species
AAGAUUUUAAGUUAAUAAAACUAUUAUCCUUCAAAGUUAAAAAUAAAUUAAUUUAAAUUUAAAUCUUA